GAGUUUGAUCCUGGCUCAGGAUGAACGCUAGCGGCAGGCUUAAUACAUGCAAGUCGUGGGGCAGCAUGACUGUAGCAAUACAGUUGAUGGCGACCGGCAAACGGGUGCGGAACACGUACACAACCUUCCUUCGAGUGGGGAAUAGCCCGGGGAAACCCGGAUUAAUACCCCGUAACAUAAUGAAGUGGCAUCACUUUAUUAUUAUAGCUCCGGCGCUUGAAGAUGGGUGUGCGACUGAUUAGGCAGUUGGCGGGGUAACGGCCCACCAAACCUACGAUCAGUAACUGGUGUGAGAGCACGACCAGUCACACGGGCACUGAGACACGGGCCCGACUCCUACGGGAGGCAGCAGUAAGGAAUAUUGGUCAAUGGACGCAAGUCUGAACCAGCCAUGCCGCGUGGAGGAUGAAGGCCCUCUGGGUUGUAAACUUCUUUUAUCUGGGACGAAAAAGGGACUUUCUAGUUCAACUGACGGUACCAGAGGAAUAAGCACCGGCUAACUCCGUGCCAGCAGCCGCGGUAAUACGGAGGGUGCAAGCGUUAUCCGGAUUCACUGGGUUUAAAGCGUGUGUAGGCGGAUUGCUAAGUACCUUGUGAAAUCCCACGGCUUAACCGUGGAACUGCUUGGUAUACUGGCUGUCUUGAGCCACUCAGGGGCAACCGGAACAAACGGUGGAGCGGUGAAAUGCGUAGAUAUCGUUUGGAACGCCAACGGUGAAAACAGGUUGCUGGGGGUGUGCUGACGCUG
rnacentral:rRNA from 1 species